rfam:Candidatus Buchananbacteria bacterium RIFCSPLOWO2_01_FTLL_40_23b rifcsplowo2_01_scaffold_3007, whole genome shotgun sequence.
UAAGCAUUUUAAGCAAUUAAAACGCAAAGUAAUGCAAGAAGUCAGCAGCGUUCAUAGUAGCUCUGUCAUCACAGAGCGAAGGAA